rnacentral:rRNA from 1 species
UACGGAGGGUGCAAGCGUUAUCCGGAUUCACUGGGUUUAAAGGGUGCGUAGGCGGGUAUAUAAGUCAGUGGUGAAAGCUCCGAGCUUAACUGGAACUGCCAUUGAUACUGUAUAUCUGAAUGUCGUUGAGGUUAGCGGAUGUUGCAUGUAGCGGUGAAUGCUUAGAUAUGUUAGCAGAACACCAAUUGUGAAGACAGCUAACUAAGCGAUGAUUGACGCUGAGGCACGAAGCGUGGGAGCAACAGG